rnacentral:rRNA from 1 species
GACGAACGCUGGAGGCGUGCUUAACACAUGCAAGUCGAACGAUGAAAUGGAGCUUGCUCCAUGGAUUAGUGGCGAACGGGUGAGUAACACGUGAAUAACCUGCCCUUAAUUUUGGAAUAACCCAGGGAAACCUGGGCUAAUACCGGAUAAGUAAACCUGUGGCAUCACAUGGUUUUGGAAAGUUUUUCGAUUAAGGAUGGAUUCGCGGCCUAUCAGCUUGUUGGUGGGGUAAUGGCUCACCAAGGCGACGACGGGUAGCCGGCCUGAGAGGGUGAACGGCCACACUGGGACUGAGACACGGCCCAGACUCCUACGGGAGGCAGCAGUGGGGAAUAUUGCGCAAUGGACGAAAGUCUGACGCAGCGACGCCUCGUGAGGGACGAAGGUCUUCGGAUUGUAAACCUCUUUCAGCAGGGACGAAGCGAAAGUGACGGUACCUGCAGAGGAAGCACCGGCUAACUAUGUGCCAGCCGCCGCCGUAA